rnacentral:tRNA from 1 species
CAUUAGAUGGCUGAAAAUAUAAGUGUUGGUCUCUUAAACCAAAUCAUAGUAAAAUUACUUCUAAUGA